UGGCGAACGGGUGAGUAACACGUGGGUGAUCUGCCCCGCACUGUGGGAUAAGCCUGGGAGACUGGGUCUAAUACCACAUACGACCAUGGCGUAGGGGUCAUGGUGGAAAGCUUUUGCGGUGUGGGAUGAGCCCGCGGCCUAUCAGCUUGUUGGUGGGGUAAUGGCCUACCAAGGCGGCGACGGGUAGCCGGCCUGAGAGGGUGGACGGCCACAUUGGGACUGAGACACGGCCCAG
rnacentral:rRNA from 1 species